UUUUAUGUAUCUUACAGCAGAAGAAUUUGAACUCGCUAAAUGCCAUUCCAUUUGUUAUGAUCAAAGUGUGAACCUUCAGUGAGAACAAUAAUGCAUCCUUUAAGUGUUUACAUAGUGGUACUCUGGCUUCAAGUGAGGGGGGUGAGCAGCCAGCAGAAGGUACAGCAGACUCCGGAAUCCUUCAGUGUCCAAGAGGGAGCCGUGGCCUCUGUCAACUGCACUUUCAGCGAUAGUGCUACUCAGAACUUCUGGUGGUACAGACAACAUCCCUGGAAAAACCCCAAGGCUCUGAUGUCUGUCUUCUCCAAUGGUAAAAAGGAAGAAGGCAGAUUCACAGUUCAUCUCAAUAAAGCCAGCUUACAUGUUUCCCUGCACAUCAGAGACUCCCAGGCCAGUGACUCAGCUGUCUACCUGUGCGCAGUGAGCACACAGUGCACCCAUGGCACCAGAAGCCUGCACCCAAAUCCACUGAGCCCCAACAAGGCCUUUGAUAGAGCAAAGACUACAGGCUAAGGAAACUGUUUCUAUUCUAUAAGCAAUGGGAAAUAAGGGGGUUUGACUGAUUAAGUGUUUUGACAUUUUUGAAAAUAACUAGUCAUAAAGAGAAAGGCACACUGUUUGGCUGGAAUAUCUUCCUCUCUUUUCUUAGGUUGAUAAUUCUACAAUCAUGUACACACUCUUUACAUGACAAUCUUGUUGAGCUGGAUGAUACAACAUGACUGUGGGACUCACCUCAUGCCAUGUCAUAGAGAUCACCGUUAUCUCUACAACACUCUGAUUUGCUUCUUUUUUAAAUCUUUCAAUUAAACAAAUAGUUGUUUUCUAAAUUUGAAAAACUUGCUUACGAAGUAGCUAAUUUCUCAAGAGCAAUUUCAUACAUAUUUAUGUUUGGA